UCUGUAUGCGCAAAUGAUCUACACAUUGUUGUGUUGUUAUCAUCUCAUCCUCACCAUUCCCAUGAGCAUUAACGACCUUUGCAAUUGUUGAUGGGCGCAAUCCAGUUUCAUGCAUCUUCUCCGUCAAAUUUUUAACAGUUUGACUACGAUGAUAUGUCUUAUGACAACGAUGUUUCCAUGCUGAUGAAGGGCUAGUAAACUCGUGAUUAUGUUCAUCACAAAAACUAGUAACACGCCAUGUCUU
rnacentral:lncRNA from 1 species